UAGAUGAGGUCAUGAGGGUGGGGCCCUCAUAAUAGGAUUAGUGUUUUUAAAGAAGAGACACCAGAGACCUCUGCCAUGUGAGGACACAGCAAGAAGGUGGCUAUCUGCAAGCCGAGAAACUAGACCUCACCAGUAUCCAACCUUGUGGCAUCCUGAUCUCAGACUUUCAGCCUCCCAAACUGUGAGAAAUACAUUUUGUUUACAUCACCCAGUCUAUGGUAUUUUGUUAUGACUGACUAAUACAUGGGAAAAACCCUGCAUUUAUGUGCCAGGCUCUUUCAUGUCAGCUGUUCACCAUAUAUAUAAUAGUUUUCAGUGCUGCUUUCCAGUUUGUGCAAAAUGUGUAAGAAAUAAAAUCAGAAUUCUUUUUUGGAAUUAGGUUAUAUACAGUUGGACUCUUCUGUGUGCGUUUUUCUAUUGCAAAAGCUACUUUUGAAAGCACCUAUAUCUAAGACAACUUUGUGAAAUGUUUGACCACAUGGAUUAGGUCCCUCUAACUUUGACCACAGCUGAGAAGACGACAACUGGAUUUGUGAAGGGAGCAUGCAUGUAGGAUAAUAGAACAAUUUUCCAUUUAAACUUGUCAUAUCAGUCUGCAAGAUCAGCGUAAAAAAUCAACACUUCAAGCAAAUGGAUGAGCAAACAGCAUAGAGAAGGCUCAUGGAGGGGCAUGUCUUUUCUCCCUAUCCUAUAUACACAUCUCUCUACUUUGUUAAGUCCUCUGUCAGUCUGCCAUAGAGGUUGGUUCCAAAAUAAUGGUCACAAACCUAAUAUGUACUAAUAAGACACUGUUCUUGUCUGCAGGCAUUUACAGUUUAGGGAAUACAGGAUAUUUAAAUAUGGAAGCAUGUAAGGUACACAGGUAAUAUAGAGGAUGAUGAACUCCAUGGUGAUGGAUCACUUGGAGACAGCGAUAGUAUUAAAGGGAGAAUAGAUAUUUACUAGGCACACAAAAGUUGGGAGGCUAUUGAAGGCAAGAGAAAGUACAGAGGUACAAACUAAAGGCAGAGGGUUGUGGAGUAUUAGGGGAGUUACAAGUUCCAGCAUUUAGUACAGUGACUGGCACAUAGGAAGUAGUAAGUACUCAAUAAUAUUGAAUGAAUGAAUGAAAACAUCUUAGUUUAGCUGGCCUGUCUCUAAGGCAUAAUCCAAAGAGAACACUGAAAUUUGAAGGUCACACAGACAUUGAGAUUGACACAUAGAAAACAUGCCCUCACUCUAAGGAAUCACUAGUGAAUUUUGAAGGCUGUGAUGAACUUAGGGUAACCACAGCAAGGAGCAACCUUAAACCUAGUCCAAUUUUUAUAACUGUAUUAAUGAAAACCUACAUGAAAGGAAUAACAGAAUAAAUGACAUGACCGUUUCUAGGGCUUAAAUCUGUUUACCUGUUUCUACUCUCCUACAUGAGAUACCUGGGUUUGGGCCAAAAAAUAAAAAUUUACAAGACAUACAAAAAUGCAAGAAAAGUCACCACCCACCAAAAGACAAAGCAGUCAAGAACUAGACCCAGACUACCUCACACAGAAUUUUAAAUGUUAAAGGCUCUAAUGAAAAAAGUGUACAACAGGCAAAUUAGAUGGGUCAUUUGAUCAGAGAUGGAACUAUGAGAAUCAAAUGGAAAUACUGAAAUGAACACAGUAAAGAGAUGGGAACAAUACCUUCAACAGGCUCAAAGGUAUACUUGACAUAGCCAAGGAAAGAAUAAGUCAACUUGAAGGUAAGUCAAUAAGAAUAGCCAAACUGAAACACAGAGGAGGGCAGGGGUCACAGAACAAAUCGUCCAAGAGCUGUGGGAAAAGAUCUAUUGGUCCAACACAUGCAGAAUUGGAUUCCUGGAAGGAAUAGAGAAAUUGGGUGGGAAGAAAUAUUUGAAUAAACAAUAGAUAAUGACACCAGAACAAAAAUCUAUAAAGCUUCAAAGAAUACAAGGAAAGAUUUUUUUUUAAAAGACGUUACAUAGGAACAAAAGGGGGAAAAAACUGUCUAUGAAAUUUUUCAUGAAAAUGUUUUUCAGAAUUGAUAGAGAAAUGAAGACUUUCUCAGAGGAGGAAAAAACAGAAAAUACAUUGCCAGAAGACCCUACUCUUAACUUCAUUUAACAGUUCUUUAAACAAAAGGAGAUGCACAAAGAGAUCUGGAAAUGGAAUAAAUGAAGUGCAGACCCCUCCACUGCUCUGGCUGCAUCUCGGACCACUCCCCUUGGGCCCCGCCACCUCGAGGAGCAAGCCCACCUUUUCCUCCACUGCUGGCACCACAUGACACAGAACCUACAUCCUGUGGGCAUCUGCUCGAUGACCUCGUGCCGAGUUCGCCUCAGUCAUUUCUUACUGCCCCAGUAUGUUUGAUUCCCAGUACUCCUGCCACAUUGCCGAAAAAUGGAAUGAACUUUGAGUCAUUUAGAAGAGAACAAGCAGCUAUUUGGAAAAAGCCAAGACAAAAGCUCAUCUACCUUGCCUGCUUCAUUAUUUAAGAUCCCAAAAGCCUCUACACAAGCCAACUCAAAGCAUGAACUUUUCUAGGGACCCUUUGGACAGACUGACUCCCUUUACUGAAAUCCCUGUUAUGCCAACAUUUCAGUUUUGGAAUUACAGCUUAGAAGCUUAACAACUUUUCUAUUUAAAUGACAUGUGUUUAAUACAAUUCAUCUACCUGAAAUUAAGAGAGAAAAGAAGAAGUUCUAAAGCACAAAUUGAUGAAUGAACUACAUAAGAAGUUCAAGGAUUUAACAGCUGUUAAAUGCAGUCUAAUAAUGAGAUUAUAGAGAAUGAAGAAAAAUUUAUUAAGAAAAUAAAUCAUGCAUAAC